rnacentral:tRNA from 7 species
GCCUGCGUAGCUCAGUUGGUAGAGCAGCUGAUUUGUAAUCAGCUUGUCGGCGGUUCGAUUCCGUUCGCAGGCU